rnacentral:lncRNA from 1 species
CACUAGAAUUAUAUGAAUAUAUUGUCAAUGAAGCAUAUAUAUAGUGUUGUUGGUAUCAUGCUUUCUGUUGUACACAUGUAUGGGAUAUUUUAGGAUGCAGUGACCUACGAUGAAGUGCAUGUGAACUUCACUCAGGAAGAGUGGGCUUUGCUGGAUCAUUCCCAGAAAAGUCUCUACAGAGAUGUGAUGCUGGAGACUUACAAGAACCUGACUGCUAUAGGCUACAACUGGGACGACCAUAAUAUUGAAGAACAUUGUCAAAGUUCCAGAAGACAUGGAAGGUAAUUUUCAUGUGCAAGCUGAUAUAAAUAUGCAUCUGAAAAAAUGUUAAUGUGUCCUGGAAGUUUUAAAGAAAAGCAACAGUGUUAAAAAACACUGUUUUAAGAAUAGCACAACUCAUUUAAACUAUCUCCGACUAGCUUACAAAUAAAUGAGGCUCGGACUAUGGUUAUUUUAUUUGGCUUUGAGAAUUACUGAGGUGCCUAACCCCUGUUCUUGAGUCUAAGCUGCUGGUCUGGCUACCUCCCCAGCUGUGUACCCCAGAUACCUGCUGGUUCUCCUGGCAUGUGCUCAUGGUCUCUCUCCCCUCAUGGAUGCUUUCUUCUCUUUACUCAUUCUUCCUCCUUUUCAUCUCUCCUCCCCCAACCUGGUCACUCCAAACCCACCUACCUCUAAUCCAUCUAGUAGUUGGCUGUAGCCAGUUUUAUUUAACCAAUAGUUUUAAAUCAG